UACAGAGGUCUCAAGCGUUGUUCGGAUUUAUUGGGCGUAAAGGGUGCGUAGGAGGGCAGGUAAGUCAGUGGUGAAAUCUCCGAGCUUAACUUGGAAACUGCCGUUGAUACUAUCUGUCUUGAAUAUUGUGGAGGUGAGCGGAAUAUGUCAUGUAGCGGUGAAAUGCUUAGAUAUGACAUAGAACACCAAUUGCGAAGGCAGCUCGCUACACAUAUAUUGACUCUGAGGCACGAAAGCGUGGGGAUCAAACGGG
rnacentral:rRNA from 1 species